GUUUCAUGGCGCGCUUUUCCCCUAGUUGUAAUACGGUUUGCACUGAACCUUUACCAAAGCUGGUAGUACCCAUAAUAAUAGCGCGGUUUUUAUCUUGUAAUGCACCCGCUACAAUUUCUGAAGCCGAAGCGGAACCACCGUUAAUCAGCACUACCAUAGGUAUGUCGGCAAUAGACAUCUCUGCUGUUGCUGCAAAGGACAUCUGCGAGCUGGCGAGGCGACCCUUAGUAGAAACAAUUAUACCCUCACUGAUAAAAGCAUCUGAAACAUCUACUGCUCCACGCAAAACACCUCCUGGGUUAUUACGCA
rnacentral:ncRNA from 1 species